AACGAACGCUGGCGGCAUGCCUAACACAUGCAAGUCGAACGAGACCUUCGGGUCUAGUGGCGCACGGGUGCGUAACGCGUGGGAACCUGCCCUUAGGUUCGGAAUAACUCCCCGAAAGGGGUGCUAAUACCGGAUAAUGUCUUCGGACCAAAGAUUUAUCGCCUUUGGAUGGGCCCGAGUUGGAUUAGCUAGUUGGUAGGGUAAAAGCCUACCAAGGCGACGAUCCAUAGCUGGUCUGAGAGGAUGAUCAGCCACACUGGGACUGAGACACGGCCCAGACUCCUACGGGAGGCAGCAGUGGGGAAUAUUGGACAGUGGGCGAGAGCCUGAUCCAGCAAUGCGGCGUGAGUGAUGAAUGCCUUAGGGUUGUAAAGGUCUUUUACACGGGAUGAUAAUGACAGUACCGGGAGAAUAAGCUCCGGCUAAGUCCGUG
rnacentral:rRNA from 1 species